UAACACGUGGGUGAUCUGCCUCGCACUCUGGGAUAAGCCUGGGAAACUGGGUCUAAUACCGGAUAUGACCACUGAUCGCAUGGUUGGUGGUGGAAAGAUUUAUCGGUGCGAGAUGGGCCCGCGGCCUAUCAGCUUGUUGGUGGGGUAAUGGCCUACCAAGGCGACGACGGGUAGCCGACCUGAGAGGGUGACCGGCCACACUGGGACUGAGACACGGCCCAGACUCCUACGGGAGGCAGCAGUGGGGAAUAUUGCACAAUGGGCGAAAGCCUGAUGCAGCGACGCCGCGUGAGGGAUGACGGCCUUCGGGUUGUAAACCUCUUUCGACAGGGACGAAGCGCAAGUGACGGUACCUGUAGAAGAAGCACCGGCCAACUACGUGCCAGCAGCCGCGGUAAUACGUAGGGUGCGAGCGUUGUCCGGAAUUACUGGGCGUAAAGAGCUUGUAGGCGGUUCGUCGCGUCGAUUGUGAAAACUUGCAGCUCAACUGCAAGCUUGCAGUCGAUACGGGCGGACUAGAGUACUUCAG
rnacentral:rRNA from 1 species